rnacentral:lncRNA from 1 species
UUCUUUUUUUUUUUGACAUCACAUUAUCUCAUCUUCCUUUUCAGCUAAAUCAGAUCUCUAUUCUACCUACCCUCUUUUGUAAAGACAGUCAGUUGGCGUGAUUGUCAAAUUUGGUGUAGAGUUUCCUUCUUACAAGAGAUAGUCUUAAUGUAUGACAUUUAUUCUUUCAACACACAUGUUUAUAACUUCUGUGUGCUAAGCUUUGUGUGAAGAGGUAAUCAAAUAAUGAUAAAUAUGUUAUGGAUUUUUGCCCUCAGAUAGCUUAUAAUCAAGGAAGAGACAUGGCAUAAUAAUAAUUAUCUCUGCUAUAAUGCAUGUUGUUGUUGUUUAGUCACUAAGUUGUGUCUGACUCUUUUGUGACCCCAGGGGCUAUAGUCCACCAGGCUCCUCUAUCCAUGGAAUUUUCCAGGCAAGAGUCCUGGAGUGGGGAUUGAACCUGGGUCUCCUGUGUCACAGGGAGAUUUUUUUUUUUACCACUGAGCCACCUGGGAAAGCUGUAUAUAAUACGUAAAAUGACAUAUUAAUAACACAAAUAAAAUGCUAUAGGGACUCAGAGGAACUUUGUCCUUUCUUGCUUGGUAGCCAUCUUUCUGCUGGGUGACUGGUUCUGAGCAAGGCUACCGGUGGGAGACAACAUCUGAAGCAUAUCCAGACUAUGCUAUGUUACUACAGGAACUAUAGCCUCACCUUUGAAAGACUGAGGGUUAGUCCAAUCAUGGUGACCCAUCCUGCCUUUGCUUAGGGAGUGACUUUUGAAGUUCAGUGAUGAUGCCGGAUUUGGAGGAAUUCUAGUGGCAUAUGUUUGGGGAGCAGCAUGGUUGAGAAUCAUAUUGGAUCUACAGACGGUAAGACAUCACAAAUAUGGAUGUAAAAGUAUGACAAGACAGUCAAAUCCUAUGACAGAUCAUUCCUUUUAAGGAGAAAUAUCAAUCCAAUACUUAGCCACUGUCAAAGGGUAGUCAUAAACACCACCACCAACAAACCAUAUGCUUUCAAAAGAAGCCUAG